UUAAGGAACUCGGAUGAGCUUCACUUGUCUUGUGUCACCUUCCCACUGAUGGACCAUUCUACACUUCACUCAACUUACCAAAAGAGGUUCUCUACCUGGAGAUUCUGAACUGUGGAUGGAUUGAUUCUGUGGGAUUGGACCAGACCAGGCACUACCUUUGAAGUCCUCUCCAACCAGUGCAAAGGAUUAUGGCCUGCCUAGGGGAGAGGGAAACCAAACGGUUUGCCUAUGAACAGCCCUGAAAUCAGAUGUCUAAUGGGUCAGCGAAUUGCUCUACUAACUUAGACCUUGGAGUAGCUGAGAAAGAGGCACUGUCAUAUAUCUCAGCGUGGAGAGCACAGGUGACCACGCAGAGCUCAUCAGCACAGUAACCAUGCA